rnacentral:rRNA from 1 species
GGGUGAGUAACACGUAUCCAACCCGCCUCAUACUCGGGGAUAGCCUUUCGAAAGAAAGAUUAAUAUCCGAUAGCAUAUAUUUCCCGCAUGGGUUUUAUAUUAAAGAAAUUCGGUAUGAGAUGGGGAUGCGUUCCAUUAGUUUGUUGGGGGGGUAACGGCCCACCAAGACUACGAUGGAUAGGGGUUCUGAGAGGAAGGUCCCCCACAUUGGAACUGAGACACGGUCCAAACUCCUACGGGAGGCAGCAGUGAGGAAUAUUGGUCAAUGGACGCGAGUCUGAACCAGCCAAGUAGCGUGAAGGAUGACUGCCCUAUGGGUUGUAAACUUCUUUUAUAUGGGAAUAAAGUUGUCCACGUGUGGAUUUUUGUAUGUACCAUAUGAAUAAGGAUCGGCUAACUCCGUGCCAGCAGCCGCGGUAAUACGGAGGAUCCGAGCGUUAUCCGGAUUUAUUGGGUUUAAAGGGAGCGUAGGCGGAUUGUUAAGUCAGUUGUGAAAGUUUGCGGCUCAACCGUAAAAUUGCAGUUGAUACUGGCAGUCUUGAGUGCAGUAGAGGUGGGCGGAAUUCGUGGUGUAGCGGUGAAAUGCUUAGAUAUCACGAAGAACUCCGAUUGCGAAGGCAGCUCACUGGAGUGUAACUGACGCUGAUGCUCGAAAGUGUGGGUAUCAAACAGGAUUAGAUACCCUGGUAGUCCACACAGUAAACGAUGAAUACUCGCUGUUUGCGAUAUACAGUAAGCGGCCAAG